rnacentral:rRNA from 1 species
AUACGGAGGGUCCAAGCGUUAUCCGGAAUCAUUGGGUUUAAAGGGUCCGUAGGCGGGCAAUUAAGUCAGAGGUGAAAUCCCACAGCUCAACUGUGGAACUGCCUUUGAUACUGGUUGCAUUGAGUUAUAGUGAAGUAGAUAGAAUAUGUAGUGUAGCGGUGAAAUGCAUAGAUAUUACAUAGAAUACCGAUUGCGAAGGCAGUCUACUAACUAUAUACUGACGCUGAUGGACGAAAGCGUGGGGAGCGAACAGGAUUAGAAACCCUAGUAGUCC